rnacentral:tRNA from 2 species
CGGGAUGUAGCUCAGCCUGGUGAGAGCGCGUGCUCGGGAUGCACGAGGUCGCAGGUUCAAAUCCUGUCAUCCCGA